GACGAACGCUGGCGGCGUGCUUAACACAUGCAAGUCGAACGGAAAGGCCCUGCUUUUGUGGGGUGCUCGAGUGGCGAACGGGUGAGUAACACGUGAGUAACCUGCCCUUGACUUUGGGAUAACUUCAGGAAACUGGGGCUAAUACCGGAUAGGAGCUCCUGCUGCAUGGUGGGGGUUGGAAAGUUUCGGCGGUUGGGGAUGGACUCGCGGCUUAUCAGCUUGUUGGUGGGGUAGUGGCUUACCAAGGCUUUGACGGGUAGCCGGCCUGAGAGGGUGACCGGCCACAUUGGGACUGAGAUACGGCCCAGACUCCUACGGGAGGCAGCAGUGGGGAAUAUUGCACAAUGGGCGGAAGCCUGAUGCAGCAACGCCGCGUGCGGGAUGACGGCCUUCGGGUUGUAAACCGCUUUCGCCUGUGACGAAGCGUGAGUGACGGUAAUGGGUAAAGAGGCACCGGCUAACUACGUGCCAGCAGCCGCGGUGAUACGUAGGGCGCGAGCGUUGUCCGGAUUUAUUGGGCGUAAAGGGCUCGUAGGUGGUUGAUCGCGUCGGAAGUGUAAUCUUGGGGCUUAACCCUGAGCGUGCUUUCGAUACGGGUUGACUUGAGGAAGGUAGGGGAGAAUGGAUUCCUGGUGGAGCGGUGGAAUGCGCAGAUAUCAGGAGGAACACCAGUGGCGAAGGCGGUUCUCUGGGCCUUUCCUGACGCUGAGGAGCGAAAGCGUGGGGAGCGAACAGGCUUAGAUACCCUGGUAGUCCACGCUGUAAACGGUGGGUACUAGGUGUGGGGUCCAUUCCACGGGUUCCGCGCCGUAGCUAACGCUUUAAGUACCCCGCCUGGGGAGUACGGCCGCAAGGCUAAAACUCAAAGGAAUUGACGGGGCCCCGCACAAGCGGCGGAGCAUGCGGAUUAAUUCGAUGCAACGCGUAGAACCUUACCUGGGUUUGACAUGGAUCGGGAGUGCUCAGAGAUGGGUGUGCCUCUUUUGGGGUCGGUUCACAGGUGGUGCAUGGCUGUCGUCAGCUCGUGUCGUGAGAUGUUGGGUUAAGUCCCGCAACGAGCGCAACCCUUGUUCACUGUUGCCAGCACGUUAUGGUGGGGACUCAGUGGAGACCGCCGGGGUCAACUCGGAGGAAGGUGGGGAUGACGUCAAGUCAUCAUGCCCCUUAUGUCCAGGGCUUCACGCAUGCUACAAUGGCUGGUACAGAGAGUGGCGAGCCUGUGAGGGUGAGCGAAUCUCGGAAAGCCGGUCUCAGUUCGGAUUGGGGUCUGCAACUCGACCUCAUGAAGUCGGAGUCGCUAGUAAUCGCAGAUCAGCAACGCUGCGGUGAAUACGUUCCCGGG
rnacentral:rRNA from 1 species